GAUGAACGCUGGCGGCGUGCCUAAUACAUGCAAGUCGAGCGAACAGACGAGGAGCUUGCUCCUCUGACGUUAGCGGCGGACGGGUGAGUAACACGUGGAUAACCUACCUAUAAGACUGGGAUAACUUCGGGAAACCGGAGCUAAUACCGGAUAAUAUAUUGAACCGCAUGGUUCAAUAGUGAAAGCCGGUUUUGCUGUCACUUAUAGAUGGAUCCGCGCCGCAUUAGCUAGUUGGUAAGGUAACGGCUUACCAAGGCAACGAUGCGUAGCCGACCUGAGAGGGUGAUCGGCCACACUGGAACUGAGACACGGUCCAGACUCCUUCGGGAGGCAGCAGUAGGGAAUCUUCCGCAAUGGGCGAAAGCCUGACGGAGCAACGCCGCGUGAGUGAUGAAGGUCUUCGGAUCGUAAAACUCUGUUAUUAGGGAAGAACAAAUGUGUAAGUAACUAUGCACGUCUUGACGGUACCUAAUCAGAAAGCCACGGCUAACUACGUG
rnacentral:rRNA from 1 species